ACGGGGGGAGCGAGCGUUGUUCGGAUUUACUGGGCGUAAAGGGCGCGUAGGUGGGUCUUCAAGUCAAAUGUGAAAACCGACGGCUUAACCAUCGGCCUGCAUUUGAUACUGUCGAUCUUGAGUACGGGAGAGGAAAGCGGAAUUCCUGGUGUAGCGGUGAAAUGCGUGAAUAUCAGGAGGAGCACCGGUGGCGAAGGCGGCUUUCUGGCCCGAUACUGACACUGAGGCGCGAAGGCCGGGGGAGCAAACAG
rnacentral:rRNA from 1 species